rnacentral:rRNA from 1 species
GGGGAAUAUUGCACAAUGGGCGGAAGCCUGAUGCAGCAACGCCGCGUGCGGGAUGACGGCCUUCGGGUUGUAAACCGCUUUCAGCAGGGACGAAGCUAACGUGACGGUACCUGCAGAAGAAGCACCGGCUAACUACGUGCCAGCAGCCGCGGUGAUACGUAGGGUGCGAGCGUUGUCCGGAUUUAUUGGGCGUAAAGAGCUUGUAGGCGGUUUGUCGCGUCGGGAGUGAAAACUCAGGGCUUAACCCUGAACCUGCUUCCGAUACGGGCAGACUUGAGGAAGGUAGGGGAGAAUGGAAUUCCUGGUGAAGCGGUGGAAUGCGUAGAUAUCAGGAGGAACACCAGUGGCGAAGGCGGUUCUCUGGACCUUUCCUGACGCUGAGAAGCGAAAGCGUGGGGAGCAAAC